UUAACUUAAAUUUGUAUUGUAUUGGAACGUUUGCCUACGUUUAUCGCUUGGGCGCUGUUCCAACUGCAUAAAAAUUAGAGUUA
rnacentral:pre_miRNA from 1 species